rnacentral:sRNA from 1 species
UAUAUGAUUUUUUCUGGCUGAUAUAAGCUUUUUACAUAGUACUAUUAAAAAAACAAGUUUUAUCACUAUAUAUAUGUUUGCUAAAUUUCAUGAACAUACAGAUUAAGGACCCUGGUCCAAAGUAUUUAAAUUUUAAUGGAUAGACUAAGACUAAAUGGAGCAGUAAUUCACUAAACAAAAAAAAUCAAAUCUACAAUGAGCAAGUAUUCUCUCAUUUAAAACACCAUCAAAAUAAUAAAUUGCAUUAAAAACUAAAAUUAAAGUGUUCAACUAACUCCUUUAGUUUUAUAUUCAAUAUUUAUUUAAAAAAUUGUAAAGCAGGAUCAAACAUAGGCCGUGUUCAAAAGAGAGUCGCCAGCGAUUGUCUCAGCGACAGAUCUAAACGACGGUAAGUCAGCCAUCAAUAAAGCUAAACGACGACAGCAGAGGCAAAACGAUGACGACAGAGGUGUCGUUGGAGAGAGAGAGAGGUGUUGCAGAAAGAGAGAAGAGUCACUGGAAUUUCAAGCGACAGCUGCGGCAACUCAAUUAACACUAACAACGACUCAUUUUAACAAUACCACCGACUUAUUCCGUAUGUAUUUUUUUGUCGAUGUCACUCAUUGAGCGGCGAAGAAAAGAACAUGGUCAUACUAACAAACAAUAUUCCCUACAUUUCAUAAUAUUAAAUGUUUUAGAUAAAAGCAUAAAGUUUAAGAAAGUAAUUAAUUUUGAGUUUUAUAAAUUAAAAAUACAAAUUAAUAUCUAUUA